UAAGCGGAGGAAAAGAAACCAACAGGGAUUGCCUCAGUAACGGCGAGUGAAGCGGCAAAAGCUCAAAUUUGAAAUCUGGUACCUUCGGUGCCCGAGUUGUAAUUUGAAGAUAGUUUUCUGGUGCUGGCCCUUGUCUAUGUUCCUUGGAACAGGACGUCACAGAGGGUGAGAAUCCCGUCUGGCGGGGUGUCCAGUGCUUUGUAGAUUUCUAUCGACGAGUCGAGUUGUUUGGGAAUGCAGCUCUAAGUGGGUGGUAAAUUCCAUCUAAAGCUAAAUAUUGGCGAGAGACCGAUAGCGAACAAGUACAGUGAUGGAAAGAUGAAAAGAACUUUGAAAAGAGAGUGAAAAAGUACGUGAAAUUGUUGAAAGGGAAGGGUAUUAGAUCAGACUUGGUGUUUUGUGAUUAUCUUCCCUUCUUGGGUUGUGCACUCGCAUUUCACUGGGCCAGCAUCGGUUCGGAUGGCAAGAUAAUGACAUUGGAACGUGGCACUACCUUCGGGUGGUGUGUUAUAGCCCUUGUUGAUGUUGCCUGUCUGGACCGAGGACUGCGGCUUCUGCCUAGGAUGCUGGCGUAAUGAUCUAACACCGCCCGUCUUGAAAC
rnacentral:rRNA from 1 species